rnacentral:misc_RNA from 1 species
GAUGAAGAACGCAGCGAAAUGCGAUAAGUAAUGUGAAUUGCAGAAUUCAGUGAAUCAUCGAAUCUUUGAACGCACCUUGCACCCUUUGGCAUUCCGAAGGGUAUGCUCGUUUGAGUGUCAUUGUACUCUCACACUUCCGAUCUUUGGAUUGGGAGCGGUGGACUUGGGUGUUGCUGCUUACUGUGGCUCACCUCAAAUCGAUUCGUGCACCUCUUGGUUGGACAUAGUACGGCGUGAUAAGUGUCUUCGCCGGCACCUCAGUAGAGGGUGGCUGAUCGGGAGCUCUGUGCUUCAAACCGUCCUCGGACAACAACUGACAACUUGACCUCAAAGCGAGUAGGACUACCCGCUGAACUUAAGCAUAUCAAUAAGCGGAGGA